rnacentral:lncRNA from 1 species
UACUUGUGUAAAAUGAAAUAGUAACACCGGCGCUGCAUUUAAAAUAACAUCCUGCCUAAAGGCAAAGCUCUCUUUUCCUCUACCCUCUGGAUCUCUAUUUCAUCUUUGGCACUGAUCUUUUCGAGCUGUCAGCCCCCACCCCCGCCCCCGGACAUUGUGAAUGGAAGGAGUGAGCGAGCCUAACAAGUGUGGAAGCAGCCACAGCUGGGACCAGAGCAGGAAAGCCCUGGCCUCCGCAGAGCCUGAGAGAGAGUUUGGCCCCAAGUGUGUAGUCAUUAAAGAUGAUCCUAGAAUAUACCCAAAUGAAGAAGCAUUGGAUUUCCCCAUGGAUAUUUGCCUAUAACCCAUGCAGAAGUUACUGAACUGUUCUACAUUGGAACUUCAAGCUAUGAGAAGGGCCAACCUUCCUACUUAGGGAAUAUUUAUGCAGCUAUGUAUUUGGGGAACAGUACACUGAGCAAUUAGCAUAAGAAAUAAUACCAGGAGCACACAGAGUGAAGAUAAAUGAUGGAUGAAAGGACACUGAAUUAGACUGGUUACAACAUUUAAUUAAGAAACAACUGUGCUGUUUGCUGGAUGUCACUAUCUUACAUCUGCCAAAAAAAGGGUAAGUAUCUUCUUUUAGGUGUUAUUAUCCUAGACAAGAAGAGCAUAGCUAAAGCAAGAGAGGAUGGAGAUUAUAAAAUACAUACCAUUAUGUAAUGCUCUCACCAGACCUGAGGAAAAUAAUGAAUACAUUAUGUUUUAAUGUCUUACAAACUGUUAAAUUAUUAAUGAUCAAGCAGACU